UCCCUGGUGGUCUAGUGGCUAGGAUUCGGCGCUUUCACCGCCGCGGCCCGCGUUCGAUUCCCGGUCAGGGAA
rfam:Gallus gallus isolate RJF #256 breed Red Jungle fowl, inbred line TCD001 chromosome 16, whole genome shotgun sequence.